UCCAGACAUCCAGAGACAGCUUCCUGCUGAAGCCAAGAUGUUCCUCCAGGUGGACAAGUCCUGGAAGGAGAUUAUGAGGAAGGUCAACAGGCUUCCCAAUGCUCUGAGGGCUGCUACACAGCCAGGUCUGCUGGAGAUCUUCCAGAACAACAACGCCCUGCUAGACCAGAUCCAGAAGUGUCUGGAGGCCUACCUGGAGUCCAAGAGAGUCAUCUUCCCCAGGUUCUACUUCCUGUCCAACGAUGAGCUCCUGGAGAUCU